rnacentral:lncRNA from 1 species
AACUCUGACUAGGACUGUUAAGGCUUAGGAACUCCUGUUCAAUUUUAUUGAAAGGUUCAAAGGAGAACGAGGCUGUUGUAAUCCUUAAAGUGAACAUAAUACUGUGCAGCCAACUCUUGAUUAUUCAGAGAUCUGUUUUAGUGUGUAGAUUAGCCUUCCCUCCAGUGUUUUAUUUGUUGUCCAAUUUUUAUUCGUGUAUUUAUUUUGCCAUUUCACUGUUCAAGUAAGAAAGGUAGCUUAAGUGCAAAUUAGCCCAUUAAGCUAAUGUGGUGAAGAUUUGGUGGAAGAAAAGGCUAAUGGAUGAGGUUUUAGAAUAAUACAUGGAUUUUAACUAUGUAAGCCAUCCAUAUCUCCACAGACCAAAGAUAAUCAAGAUUUGGCUGUACUUUCACACUAUGGCUAAAUCAUAACUUAUUCAUUUAUCAAAAUUAUAGGCUAUAACAAAGUAGUUUUGUUAUAGAA